AGGUGGUAAAUCCUGGCCAAGGCUCCUCGAGCCAGGCCGGCUGGCAGUGCUGCAUCGUGCUGAAGGCGCUGAGGUUGCAGCGGAUGCAUUCCGGGCCAGUGAUAUGAUGUGGACAGGAAAAGUCUUUUGUUCUGGGAAAAUGGAGGACUGAAACCUCUUCAUGUCUUUUUCCCAGGCCCUGAUUUAGGAAGACCAAAACAGGGACUUCUACAGUAGCAGCUUAAUCAGCAGAUGCUGGGUGGUCGCCUCUGCACAUGGCCUGGGGGGCGGGGCGCCUUACCGCGUCACACUGGGUGGAUGGGCCUGUGUGUGGCCUCUCUCCAGCUGUGGCUGACAGUACUCACUCAGCCCAGGCUUCCAGGCCCUCCUGGGCCCUCCUAUCCACUGAAGGAAAUGGGAGAUGAGUGGGUAAUGGAAAAGCCUUUGGAGUCAGAUGUAAAUCCAUGACUUGACCACUUAUUGCUGUGAGACCCUGGACAGCUGGAUAUAGAGUUCUUGUUCUAGCAUCCGCCCUGGGAAUCCCCGGAACUGGGCCUCUUACCGACACCAUUGCCUGUAAUCCACAAACCUAGGAGUUACUCCAGUUACUGUCCUACUGAAGGACCCCCAUCCCAUCUGGGCUACUAUAACCACAUGGACCAUCCCUUGCUUCAAUCAUAGAAUUCUUUCUUCAGAUCAAAGUAUAUUCAGACACUCGAUACAGUAACAAAAGCAAGCUAUCCUGGAAGGAAGAAGGAAUCAGGAGGCAGAGCACAUGGUUAAAGCAUGAGAUGUGAAACCAGGAAGAACCAGGUCUGAACCUUAGCUCCACCAGUGGUAGCUUCAAACCUUGGUCCUUUCUGAGCCUGCUUCUUCAACCGUAAGGGAACGCUACACUUCCUUAGAAAUUAAGAGUGUGUGCUACACUGCUUUACCAGAGCAAGGCCAAAAGCAGCUUCAAUUAUGGUACAACUGUGUGAAGACACAAUGCAAAACCACUCAAGAAUGCUCACUCAAAUGGAUUUUUACCAUGCGUCUACAAUGUGGAAGCAAGUCCUGAGUGAAUAUGCAACCCUGCUCCACCUAUGGGGAAGUGGGACCAGAACCAGAAACAUCAGCACACAGGGACACAGCCCUGGAAACACAACCUCUGCUUUCAAAGCAGAUUGGCCACUAAGAGUUUUUAUUACCUAUUUUCUUUGCCAUAUUGUAGUUCCCAAUUCUCAAAAAUAAAAAUGUUAAGAGAAAUAUGAAAGACGGCUAAAAAGAGAGAAGAAACAAUGAAAAAGGAGAUGGCUCAUGCCUGUAAUCCCUUUGGGAGGCCGAGGCGGGUGGAUCACGAGGUCAGGAGAUCAAGACCAUCAUGGCUAACAGGAUGAAACCCCGUCUCUACUAAAAAUACAAAAAAUUAGCCGAGCAUGGUGGCAGGAGCCUGUAGUCCCAGCUAACUGGGAGGCUGAGGCAGGAGAAUGGUGUGAACCCAGGAGGCGGAACUUGCAGUGAGUGGAGAUCGCACCACUGCACUCCAACCUGGGCGACAGAGCAAGACUCCGUCUCAAAAAGAAAAAGAAAAAGAAAAAGAAAAAGGACAGAAGGGCAAAAAAGAAACAGGUACAGGGGACAUGGAGAGGUGGUCAGGGACACGGAUAUGGGCACAAGAAAGAGGAGGGAGAGAGAGAGGAGGAAGUUCUUGGCACAGAACUAGUCCUUCUCUACCCUCGAUUUAUUCUCAAGAAAUAAGAAAGUACGUUUUGUUUUGAUAGUCACUUAAUAGCAACAUGAACUGGCAGGUAGGAGAGUGGAGUCAGUGGAAACAGCUGCCAAAGCAGGGGUCAUGGAGAAGAACCAUAGGCAGGCAACACACACACACUGUGUGUGCUCCGCAACAAAGGUGCCAUUAGUCUCAAAGCAUAGUGGAUCAGUGAGUUGGGCUUAUGAAUGUUCCCAAGUCUUUUCCACUUCUGACCACAUUUUGAGUAUGUGUUAAUCAAAUUCAUCUCCUAAAUAUUUAGUAUAAGGCUUUAUGUAAUGAGUUCUCAAAUGCAUGUUGCUGAGCCACUGACAGCAGGAAACAAGCUACCUCCCACCAGGAAACCACUAACUAGUUUAUAUGCCUGUAACACAUAUCACUGUAAUUCUGGGUCCUAACAAAAACCUUUUUCAUAAAAACGGGUACCAGUCAGGAAGACCCAAAUGCAUAUUAGGGAAGUAAUUAUCUAUUACUCUCUAGGAUACUGAUAAAGGAAGGGACUUCCAUGUCAAUUUCUAAAUAUUCAAGAGGCCUUGAAUAUCCCAAGGUGCCUGUUAGGGUCAUUAUUUUGAAACUAAAAGCAGACCUGGCCUCUUCUGAUUAAGAAAGCACACACACACACACUUUUCACUCUGACUGUUGACAAUUCAAGCCCAUGCACAGUACAUGCUUCCUUGGGAAUACCUCUCGUGUAUAUACUCUGGUAGGGCCAGGCCUAUAGGGGCAUCCUGUUGCCUUCAAUGCUGAACUUGACAGCACGAUGCACUUUGCUGAGUCGUUUCUGUUCUGCAAAUCGCCUCUUAUGCUUUUCCAAUCGGCUUAGGCCCUUUUUAAGAAUACCAGGCUAGAAGUAGUAGUUUGAUUGGAGAAUAAAAA
rnacentral:lncRNA from 1 species